CCCUGGUGGGCUCAGAUGGUAAAGAAUCUACCUGUAAUGUGGAAGACCCAGGUUCAAUCCCUGGGUUGGGGA
rnacentral:tRNA from 1 species